rnacentral:rRNA from 1 species
ACGGUGGCAUCGAUGGCGGCGUGGUCUGAGCAGGGCCAUGGUGGAGGAGGAGGACAAGCGUUGGUGUCGCAUGGUGAUAUCCAGAACGGAGAUGGGACGACGCCGUGUCCCAGUAGCGGAGGAGCCAUGGAUGGUGGUGGCCGGCGGGUACAGAUCCACAUCAUAGAGUGCAGGUUGAGGCGCUCGUGUGACCUUGGAAGGCGGGGAGCCAUGGAGGGAUGGUGGUCGGAGGCCUCAAAAGCAGAGGGAUUGGGCGGCGCAGAAGGAAAGGAUAAGGAGAUCUGGGGGGAUUGGAUUUGGGCGUGCGCG